rnacentral:rRNA from 1 species
GCAAGUCGAGCGAGAAAGCCUUCGGGUGAGUACAGCGGCGGACGGGUGAGUAACGCGUAGGAAUCUACCCGGUAGUGGGGGACAACAUGGUGAAAACCAUGCUAAUACCGCAUACGCCCUAUGGGGGAAAGCGGGGGACCUUCGGGCCUCGCGCUAUCGGAUGAGCCUGCGUAAGAUUAGCUAGUUGGUGGGGUAAAGGCCCACCAAGGCGACGAUCCUUAGCUGGUCUGAGAGGAUGAUC